rnacentral:sRNA from 1 species
CACACACACACACACACAACCUUAGAAAACAUCUAAGAUUGUAAAGUAAAGAUGAGAUCAUAAAAUGGGAGAGCCAGAAACUGAAGUCAAGACCACUUAUUUUACUGAUUUUUAUUUUUUGAGAUAGGUUCUGCCUAUAAUAAAGAGGUUCGUUUUGAACUCCUAGGCUCAAGUGACCCUCUUCUCUCAGAUUCUCAAGUGUUGAGACUAUAGGUAUUAUGUAACUUUACUGGGCUUAGCUUAGUUAAAAAAAGAAUGUUAAAAAAAACUCUGUCCAAGCAAAAUAAAAUAUAUUUUCAGGUUAUACUGGUCCUGUGGUUCACCAGUUUUGACCUCUGUGCUAGUUGAGAGGAAGCAGCAUGUUAUAAUAACCUGAACAGAAGGUCCAUAAUUCCUGUGUUACCAUCUAAGUUUAACUAUUUACCAGCUCUAUAAUCUCAGAUAAACUAUGUAAUCAGUCCAUUUCUUUCAACUGGGCAUAAGAAAUCCAAAGUUUCCUAGCAGCUUUCAGCAUGGCAUGACUAAGAACCCAUGGAAAGCUAAUUAUGUGCAUGGUGAUUGAUUUUUUUCUGUAUGGGGUUUGGUGGGAUGUGAGACAAGGUUUUAUGUAGCCCAGCCUGGCUUCAAACGUUCUAUGUAGCUGAGACUGGCCUUGAACUCCUGAUCGUAUUGACUCUACUCCACAAGUACUCGGACAAAUGUGUAUCACCACACCUGAUACUUUGUCUUACCUCAGUUUGUUGACUCGGUUUACAUAUCUGGAUAGUGGGGAUAAUAAUGGUACCUACAUUAUAGAGCUCUGAGGAUUAAAUGAGGUGAUAUAUAGACUGUUAAUAUAACUGCAGUAGUGAGAACACUUUUUUUUGACACAACGUAAGCACUAUAUAAGAAUUACCUAUCAUCAUUACUGAUUUUUAACCUGACUUCUUGUUGAGCUCAUGUUUGACAGUCCUAAAUGACUUUGAAGGUAGCUUGCUAGUGUUUACAAUGUGGCACUGUUCCUGGGAGCAAUGUACACACCAUCACAAUGGAGCUGAACUUUUGAUCCCUUAGUUAAUCAUUUAAAAAAAGACAGAGUGGUAAGGUCUGAGAGCAGGAGAACUUCCCAGUCAAGGGAAUGCACCUUAAAAGCAGACACAGAUGAAGAAAAGAAAAACAGCCUAAAUGUCUAUCCAUGAAGGCAACAAACAAUGCUUAUUGCUAAAAGCCUUUUCUGUAUUUUCCAUAACAUACUUAAGAAGGCCAGAAAAAAAGGCCAAACUUUGAUCUAUAGAGUUGACUAGAAGGAAUUCUUAUAUUGGAAAAACACAGUUACUUUACUUGACCUAAAUUUGUGUAGGGGUAAAGUAUAGUUUUUUUUUCAAAAAUGUAAGAGAAAGGGUUUAUAAGUGUAGUUGGGUCCUGGGGCUGAAAAGUAGCACUCUAGCAGUAAUUUUGAAGUGAGACGUUGUGAUAUGAGGAAACAAAUGAAGCAUAGGAAGGCAGCUUUGAGGAGAUGUUUGAUGAAAUGGUAUGAACUCUAGUGGGGUAGCAAUGAAUACUCUGCAUUGAAUGGACAGGGGAGACUGCAGGUCACAAGUAUAAGGGUUACUGAUGGCACUUCAGCACUGAAGUGAUAAAGGCAUUCAUGGGAUCUCAUGUGAAAAGAUAUGGGGAUUCUUCAAUAGACCAUGAGAAAUUUCUGUUGAGAGGAGACAGCAUAUGUUAUGAAAACUAAUUUGAGUUUAUGAGAAUGGUAGAAGGUCAUAUGUAAUAGACAGGGGACUGGAAGUGUAUGAAAAUCUGUGUGUGGGGGUAAACAGAAGAAAAAGUUGGGCUUUGUGUUGUGAAAUACUGUAGAAUUCUGAGGUUGAAAGCACAGAGCAUAUGAUAGGAACCAGAUUAUAAAUAAGGAGAGAGUAAGUGAUCCCUGGUGUUAUAGGACAGGGCAUAAGGAAAGUUCAGCAUCAUUAAAGGGGUGAUCUAAGAAAAAACAACAAAAAAGUAUAUCUCCAUAGGAAAGGGCAAAAAACUACACACUUCAGCCAGAAAGAACUGGAUUUUCCAGGCUUAAGAAGGCAGGGGACAAGUGCAACCCUAAAGGAAACAAUGAGAAGCACCAGACUGAUAGUGACAGGAUGUGGUGUGGACAGUGGGAAACACUGGAGGGGGUGGAGACUGCUUCUCAGUAAAGAUAGGUAAAGAUUAGACAAGUAGUGGCUCUUCAGUGGAAUAUGGUAAGGAUUGCGGGGACUCUGAAGUGUAAAGAAAACAUUCUAGUAGGAGAUUAUAGUGGAUGGGACAUGAUCAUACUAUGACAAAGUGGGGUCACUAGUGAGAUGGGUAAGAAAAUAAUGUGGGCCUUCUAAUGAGAAGUUGAAUGCUUUACAAAAAGGAAAGGGAAGGGGCUGGACCCCAGUGUGGUACAAUUUGGAGCUCUAAUAUGAGAAGAAAGUGUUGUAUAGAACCCCCGCACCACAAAAAGAGCUCUGAAAAUGAGGAAAGACUACAGGUAAGGAAAGGGGAAAACUUAUUGUGUGAAAUGUGAGAUAGAACAGAACAGAGUGUGGAGUCAUAAGAAGACAAACAUGGAGCACUCUCUCUCUCUCUCUCUCUCUCACUGUGUGUGUGUGUGUGUGUGUGUGUGUGUGUGUGUGUGUACUGCAUGUCUGCAUGUGCGCACACACAUGCUAGCACUCUUGGAUCUCAGGGAAAGGGUGAAGGGCUUAGUUAGCCCUGUGUAAAAAGUGAGAACAGAAUGUUCUGAUGUGAGAGGCUCAUAAGUGGGUGGAGAUGUGAAACCUCUCAGCUUGUGUUUGAGGGUUGCAGAGACAAAGUAUGGAUCUCAAUGUGGAGAAGAGGUGAGAUAAUAGGAGAGUACAGGAAUUAUUUUUGGAUUCCUAUUAGGGAAUCCCUAGUAUGAAAGAAACCAGAGUAGGAGGGGAAAAUGGUGGGGCCCUUAGUUGGAUACUUUGGUGGAGCGGGCACUUUAAGGGUAUGGUGCUUCCUCAAUUGGUUGGGUGGGUUCAGAAGGUGGUUUUCCAGGCAGUACAGCUUAAGUGGUUAUCCUGUACGUGUGGGGGAGGGAGGUUCCUAGUAGGAAGAACCAAGGAAUUAUUGAGGGUAGGGCAAAGAAAUAGGAAAACCCAGAGGAGAGGAGAUGGCGACGUGGUGGGACCCUCGUGGGACGGCGCAUGAAAGAUAUUGUGAGAAGCCCAAGCCAUGAACUCAUGUUGUUCCAGCGGUGCUUCCUUUCAAGGUGCAAUGUGAACAGCCACCUCAAGCUCUGUCACCAUGUCUACCCCACCGUAAUGGACUGUACCCUUAAAUGCCAAUGGUGAUGAAUGCAGACAUGUAGCUGCUCAGAUACCAAGAACAAUUUACAGUUGAGCGUUCAGUCCUGAAGAAGUUAUUCCUACUAUCCUCUCUGUGGCUCAUGGGACUUCAGAGAAGAGGGAGGGGGAAGAAGGAAGAGCCAGAAAAUAGGUCUGCAACAUGCUGUCUUCAGGGUGUGACACAGGACUGCAAUCAUGAUCUCAUCACAGCUGUGUUUUCCAGCUUUGGUACUGUAUGAGACUGAAGCAGUCAGCAGUUAAUCACCUCCUGGAUGAACCGAGGAAUGUGGAUGGAUUCUUGAAGGGAGCAGUAAUUGUGUUCAGUUGUUUAUCUACUGGUGUUCACCCCAGGCUCCAGUGGAUAGUUUCAGAACUAUGUCACGUGGUUAGAAAUAAUCUGAUCACAAAACAACAGAAUGGCAUGAAUGCAGGAAAGAAUUUUGAAGGAAAGGGGUUAGUUUUCAAGAGUGGGAAGGAGAUAAUAGGGGGAGACGAGAGAGUAAUCCUAAUAAACUAUAUACUUCUAUGAAUCUGUUUUGAAAAACAGUUAAUAAAAGAUAAAUGAAAAAAGAAGAAAAAUGAUUUAUAAAAUAAAAUCCAAGAAUGCCAUCAACUGAGAUGUUCAAGCCCUAAUGCAAAGAACACAAGGAACAUGAAAAGCUAAGGGAACAUGGCUCCAUCAAUAAUUACUCAUCACACAGAAAUGACUGAAUUGGAUGCAAUCUCAGGUGAGAAGUCAAAGGAAUGAUUAAAAGUUAUGACUGCCCAAAAGACCCAACACGCAGCUGAAAGAGUCAGAUGCAGAUAUGUGCACACAACCAAUGGACAGAAGCUGCUGACCCC